UGGCGGCGUGCCUAAUACAUGCAAGUCGAACGGUCUUUCUAUGGAAGCUUGCUUCCACUGAGAAGAUAGUGGCGAACGGGUGAGUAACACGUGGGUAACCUGCCCAUAAGAGGGGGAUAACAUCCGGAAACGGGUGCUAAUACCGCAUAGUUUUCUUGAUUGCAUGAUUGAGAAAGGAAAGACGGCCUUUGUGCUGUCGCUUAUGGAUGGACCCGCGGCGUAUUAGUUAGUUGGUGAGGUAACGGCUCACCAAGACGAUGAUACGUAGCCGACCUGAGAGGGUGAUCGGCCACAUUGGGACUGAGACACGGCCCAAACUCCUACGGGAGGCAGCAGUAGGGAAUCUUCCGCAAUGGACGAAAGUCUGACGGAGCAACGCCGCGUGAGUGAAGAAAGGUUUUCGGAUCGUAAAACUCUGUUGUCAGAGAAGAACAAGUUGGAGAGUAACUGCUCCAGCCUUGACGGUAUCUGACCAGAAAGCCACGGCUAACUACGUGCCAGCCGCAGC
rnacentral:rRNA from 1 species